ACUAGUUGGGGGAGUCAGGUGCCCUGAAACAGAGGGCUUCUGUGGAAGCCAGUGAUUGUACUGCUCCAAAUGAGUAACCAGCUGCAGGCUAAUUACUGCAUAACACUUUUCUAAUAUUAGAGCCUUUUUUAGACAUCUUAGUUGUAAUUUAUGCACUGGAACUAAAGGGAACCUUCAGCUAAGACAGAUAGUAGUGCAGACACUUCAUCACUUCUGUAUUGAGGUUUACUUAUCUUACCAGUGUUAAAUGUGUUCAGGAAGCUUACUCGUCCAAUAUUUUUCUUGCUGUCU